GGCAGGUACCGCGGGAGCCCGCUGCAGCUGUCACAAACGGCGCAGGGCUGAGAGGGCGUAAGAGCCGACCGCUUGACCUGAUCCGGUUAGUACCGGCGUAGGGAAGGAUUUCCAUGAACCC
rnacentral:ncRNA from 2 species